rnacentral:lncRNA from 1 species
UUUAUUUUCUUGAAUAAAUAUAGAAAGUAUGGACACACGUGCUGAGUUUUGGAAUUUGAACAAGAUGUAUAGGACAUGUUCCACCACAAGAACCUAAACAACUGAGCUAUGUUUUACAAAUUGUGUAAGCCCCUCAAUUUCCUUCAAUUAAAAAGCCUUUUCCUUUCCAUGCCAUUUUAUCUCGUUUUUGUUUACACUUCAAGAAACCUGCAUUUUUCAAAUUCAC